UACGUAGGUGGCAAGCGUUGUCCGGAUUUACUGGGCGUAAAGAGCGUGCAGGCGGUCGUUCAAGUCGCGUGUGAAAGCCCCCGGCUCAACUGGGGAGGGUCACGCGAUACUGAUCGACUGGAAGGCAGGAGAGGGUAGUGGAAUUCCCGGUGUAGUGGUGAAAUGCGUAGAUAUCGGGAGGAACACCAGUGGCGAAGGCGACUACCUGGCCUGUUCUUGACGCUGAGGCGCGAAAGCUAGGGGAGCAAACGGG
rnacentral:rRNA from 1 species